GCUCGGGUAGCUCAGUUGGUAGAGCGUCCGCCUGAAGAGCGGUAGGUCACCAGUUCGACCCUGGUCCCGAGCA
rnacentral:tRNA from 2 species